ACUGCCACCUCUUUCACUUGCCAAAUGGACAUUAUAUUUCUUUUUUGGACAGACAUUAUAGAAAACUUUUUAUUUAUUGUCCCAAUUGCACACUAGCAUAAAGCUUGCUAGACUAGUUUACAGGUAAACUUCUGAGUGAGAUUAUAGAAAUCUACUGGCUUUGCCUAUCUGCUGGCUUCCGAGACUUCUAUGUUAUUGAUAGGUCAACAGAGUGGAUUAACCCUUCUUCCAAGAAGUCACAAUUGGCUCAGUUCAUCAAAAUUCUGCAUAUGAGAAGCAACAACCAUUAGUUCUGAACUUUUGCGGGCAUGUCUCAACUUUAAAUCAGGGCGCAGAAAGCAAUGCAUGAGCUUCAAAGUACUAUUGCACAGGAAGGAAUAAGAAAAGCUUUCAUGUGUACAAUUUUAAAAUAUUCCCUGAAAGCCCAAAGCCAUGGCUUUCUCUCACCGUUCAAUAAUCGCUGACGAUUUAAUUUCUUCUUUCAAUACAUUAAUUACAUCAUUUCCAUGUUUAAUUAAUUACAUUUUUUAAUGCAAAUUAUGAGUCUUUAUUAAAUCUAAAUUUGUUUUCCGUUUAUUCCAAAA